UAUGUGAUCGUCUCUCGCAUAUCAAUAAGCGGAGGAAAAGAAACUAACAAGGAUUCCCCUAGUAACGGCGAGUGAAGCGGGAAGAGCUCAAAUUUGAAAUCUUAAAGGGUUUCCCUUUACGAAUUGUAGUUUAAAGAAGUGUUUUCUGUUGAGGUUUUGGUAAAAGUUCUUUGGAAUAGGACAUCAUAGAGGGUGAGAAUCCCGUAUUUGACCUUUACUUUCAACUUUGUGAUACACUUUCAAAGAGUCGGAUUGUUUGGGAAUGCAGUCCAAAAUGGGUGGUAAAUUUCAUCUAAAGCUAAAUAUUGGCGAGAGACCGAUAGCGAACAAGUACCGUGAGGGAAAGAUGAAAAGAACUUUGAAAAGAGAGUUAAACAGGUACGUGAAAUUGUCAAAAGGGAAGCGUUUGACACCAGUGUUGUUUUUCUGAAAAUCAAUUAAAGAACUGUUUAUGCUAAGCUGUUUAGACUUUAUCAGCUAUCUGUUUAGUUUUGAGCUUUUCUUUAAUGCACUUUUCAGUUAACAAGUCAACAUCAAUUUCUUUUGCUGUAAAAAAACUUGAGGAAGGUGGCUUGAGAUUCGUCUUAAGUGUUUAUAGCCUCUUGCCUAUGCAGUCGGAGAGAUUGAGGUCUGCAGCGUAGAUCCUUCGGGGCUAAAUGCAUUUGUGCUAAGUUAUAGCAUUUUAUAGACAACUUGUUGACUAUGAUUUGUCUUGUAGCUUACUCGCUUAUGUUAUUUUACCUACGCUUAGGAUGUUGAACGCGCACAGAGUCUC
rnacentral:rRNA from 1 species